rnacentral:rRNA from 1 species
UGCCAGCAGCCGCGGUAAUACGAAGGGCGCAAGCGUUAUCCGGAGUUACUGGGCGUAAAGCGCGUGCAGGUGGAUAUAUAAGUUGGUUAUGAAAGCUCCUGGCUAAACUGGGAGAGGUUGACCAAAACUGUAUAUCUAGAGUGGAUGAGAGGUAAAUGGAAUUCCUUGUGUAGUGGUGAAAUGCGUAGAUAUGAGGAAGAACACCAGUGGCGAAGGCGAUUUACUGGCAUCCAACUGACACUCAGACGCGAAAGCAUGGGUAGCGAACGGGAUUAGAUA